rnacentral:rRNA from 1 species
CUCUGUGACUCCUACGGGGAGGCAUCAGUGGGGAAUAUUGCACAAUGGGGGAAACCCUGAUGCAGCCAUGCCGCGUGUGUGAAGAAGGCCUUCGGGGUUGUAAAGCACUUUCAGUAGGGAGGAAGGUAGUGUAGUUAACACCUGCAUUAUUUGACGUUACCUACAGAAGAAGCACCGGCUAACUCCGUGCCAGCAGCCGCGGUAAUACGGAGGGUGCGAGCGUUAAUCGGAAUUACUGGGCGUAAAGCGCAUGCAGGCGGCCUGUUAAGUCAGAUGUGAAAGCCCGGGGCUUAACCUCGGAAUUGCAUUUGAAACUGGCAGGCUAGAGUCUUGUAGAGGGGGGUAGGAAUUUCAGGUGUAGCGGUGAAAUGCGUAGAGAUCUGAAGGAAUACCAGUGGCGAAGGCGGCCCCCUGGACAAAGACUGACGCUCAGAUGCGAAAGCGUGGGGAGCAAACAGGAUUAGAUACCCUGGGAG